GAUGAACGCUGGCGGCGUGCCUAAUACAUGCAAGUCGAGCGAACAGACGAGGAGCUUGCUCCUCUGACGUUAGCGGCGGACGGGUGAGUAACACGUGGAUAACCUACCUAUAAGACUGGGAUAACUUCGGGAAACCGGAGCUAAUACCGGAUAAUAUAUUGAACCGCAUGGUUCAAUAGUGAAAGACGGUUUUGCUGUCACUUAUAGAUUGAUCCGCGCCGCAUUAGCUAGUUGGUAAGGUAACGGCUUACCAAGGCAACGAUGCGUAGCCGACCUGAGAGGGUGAUCGGCCACACUGGAACUGAGACACGGUCCACACUCCUACGGGAGGAAGCAGUAGGGAAUCUUCCGCAAUGGGCGAAAGCCUGACGGAGCAACGCCGCGUGAGUGAUGAAGGUCUUCGGAUCGUAAAACUCUGUUAUUAGGGAAGAACAAAUGUGUAAGUAACUAUGCACGUCUUGACGGUACCUAAUCAGAAAGCCACGGCUAACUACGUG
rnacentral:rRNA from 1 species